GCUGGCGGCAGGCCUAACACAUGCAAGUCGAACGGUAACAGGAAGCAGCUUGCUGCUUCGCUGACGAGUGGCGGACGGGUGAGUAAUGUCUGGGAAACUGCCUGAUGGAGGGGGAUAACUACUGGAAACGGUAGCUAAUACCGCAUAACGUCGCAAGACCAAAGAGGGGGACCUUCGGGCCUCUUGCCAUCGGAUGUGCCCAGAUGGGAUUAGCUAGUAGGUGGGGUAACGGCUCACCUAGGCGACGAUCCCUAGCUGGUCUGAGAGGAUGACCAGCCACACUGGAACUG
rnacentral:rRNA from 1 species